GCCUGUUUGGCUAAGUGGUAAAGCGUCGCACUUGUAACAUAAUUAAAGUAUGUACAUGCGAAGAUCCUCGGUUCGAUUCCGAGAAUAGGCA